rnacentral:rRNA from 1 species
AACGCCCCGCAAGGGGAGUGGCAGACGGGUGAGUAACACGUGGGAACCUUCCCUAUAGUACGGAAUAGCCCAGGGAAACUUGGAGUAAUACCGUAUACGCCCGAAAGGGGAAAGAAUUUCGCUAUAGGAUGGGCCCGCGUAGGAUUAGCUAGUUGGUGAGGUAAUGGCUCACCAAGGCGACGAUCCUUAGCUGGUUUGAGAGAACGACCAGCCACACUGGGACUGAGACACGGCCCAGACUCCUACGGGAGGCAGCAGUGGGGAAUAUUGGACAAUGGGCGCAAGCCUGAUCCAGCCAUGCCGCGUGAGUGAUGAAGGCCUUAGGGUUGUAAAGCUCUUUUGCCGGGGACGAUAAUGACGGUACCCGGAGAAUAAAGUCCGGCUAACUUCGUGCCAGCAGCCGCGGUAAUACGAAGGGACUAGCGUUGUUCGGAAUCACUGGGCGUAAAGCGCACGUAGGCGGAUUCGUAAGUCAGGGGUGAAAUCCCGGGGCUCAACCUCGGAACUGCCUUUGGAUACUGCGGGUCUUGAAGUCCGAUAGAGUGGGUGGAAUUCCUAGUGGUAGAAGGUG